CUAUCACCGCCUCCACCGUAUCUCUAUCCUCGCCUCACUCUCACCUCAAAGUCUUUGCAGCAAGAAUGAGGAUCAACGCCUUAGUGUCAAAGAGGAGGAAUGUAGGCUAACAAUUCCUGACUGUGGGCUCACAGGUAUCGGUUCCGGGUGCUAACUUCGGUUUGUUGCUUUUUGAUAAUUCUCCCAAACUGACAAAGUGACAGCCUCUCACUUGAAAUCUCCUUUUUACUUGCUGCUCACCACAAUCCUGAUCCCAGACUUGAAGCAGCGACAAAAGCUGGCUCGUCAGGGAUAACAGAUGAGCGUAGAUGAACAGUGUCAGGAGGGGACGGCUCAUGUGACUGGAGCUGUGCAGCAUGACAAGUUGCCAUGUUGUGAAAUCCGAACGUAAGUGACACGAGGCUGCACUACAUUUCAUGACCAUACGCUUAAGAGCAUGGUUAUUUUGGGACAUGUUCUUUUCACGAUUUUAUUUUCUUCUUCUUUUUUUUUUCCUCUUGGGGUUAUAAAGUAUUCACAGACUAAAAAAAUAGCGGCGCUCACUAACUCAUCCAGACCUCGCAGCCUGAAUGUGCAGCCUUGGCAUUGUUACUGUAGCUCUGAGGGGAGAAAGUGAAUUGGUCUAUCAGCUUUCCAACAACAACACAGAGUGAAUGGCAAGGUAGCUAGAGCACAGACUUGGUUAGCUCGCUGAUUAGAUGACAAGCUGUAAGGUUCGGUCAAUCAAGUACGCUUCAGAACUGCUCAUUUAAGGCUCUCGGUUAGAAAUGACGUUUUCAGCUAUCCCCACAGGAGAGCACAAACCCAAGAAGAGAUCUCAUGUUUCUAUUUUUUUUUUCCUUGAGCUUGUUGUAACACAAAGAUGAGACCUGGGAGUUUUCUCCUACUUUUCAAAUUCAGCUGAAGACAAGAACCAGAAAGCUAAGUUUGUGUAACAUACAGAAAAACUAGUAAAUAAAUACUAAGUUAUUUAUUUUACCAUUUUUUAUUACAUUAUAUUUUUUCAGACUUAAGUAUUAGCGUGUUGCUAUAUUACUGAUAUUUUAAAAAUUAAACAUAGCUAUCAUGUUAGUGAUAUUAUUGUAAAUAGUCCAGUUCCAGUACAGCCUGAGAUCAUAAAAAGGUUCGUGAAUAACACUCCAAGUCACAUUGCAUGUCAUCAGAAUGCAUUUUUCACAUGUGCCAUGUCAUUGCACGCCAUAUAAUAGCAACGAAUGACCUGCUCUCUCUGACCUUAACCAUAACCUAAAUGCAUGGACAUGACAAGCAAAAUUCUCCUGAAGUGGUGAGCCAUCUAUAUGCAAUCCCAUGAUAUCAGGUUAGCCAGUAACCAGCUGGUUGACACUCACACAUGGAGGGAACAUAUUCUCUACUUGUGGUUACAGACUCUCAGUCCACCUCUCUAUAUUCAUAUUUUGAGUGAAAUUUGUUUCCUACAAAAGAGAUAAAACACAUAUUAAACAAAACAAAAGCUGAAUUUUACUCCUCAAUAUUAAGCCAGAUAACAAAUACAAAUCUAUUGAUAUAAUUAUUAUUCAUAUAAUUAAAUGAAGCGUGUCGCCUUGCAAUAGUAGUUCACACCCCAUGUGAAGAUUUGUUAUGAAGUUGUUAUGGGUUACUGCUGACAAUGAGGUACUUUUGCGCAUUUAUUCCUGAUUAAAAUAUUGAGAUUGUUUACACUUUUAAUAUGUUUAACAUUUAAAAUGUUCAAUGUUUGUUCAUUGUCUUAUUCUCUGUGUCUCCUCUCUUUUUUAAAGCAUAUUACUUCUUUUAGCUACUUUAAAUGUUAUUUGUGAGACUGACCACACUUUUGACAGGUGGUGUUUUAGAUCUGGAUUCCUGCUGCCAAAGUUUUGCAAGAGCCAGAAAACUCACCCUUCAUUUCAGACUCCCACAACCCUUUCUCUCUUCGCAGAGGAGCAGGGCCAGAGGUGGGGAAGAGGACCUGUCUGCGGUCCGGCUACAUCUGCCAGAGCUUCCUCCCACCUGUCUGAUGCUGCUGAAAUUUAUGUGGCUGUAUAGGAGGAGGCCAAACCAAUGUGCCAGGCCAUGUGUAGGCUUCCUUUUACACUGACAGUUGUGUGUAUGAAACUGUAGCUGGUUUCCAGUGAGGCUUGGCCCAGUGUAUCUGGAAUCUGUCAUGAGCGAAAGCUUGAAAAGGUUAGGACAGUUCAGGGAAGAUAAAUGGUGAAUGGGGAGGACAGCUGAUGUAGGAACACAAACACUUCAAGACGAUGGAGUGGACUGAGGCUGAGUUCCUAUAUCCUACUACACACCGCUGGUUCCUGUGCUACAGCUGCUGCAGAUGCAGGAAAUCAUCUGUUGUAUGCUCCACUAACAGAACUUUCUACAGACCAUUCACAUGAGCCACUCUAUUACUCUCAUCAAAACAAAUGAUAAAGAAUGGUUAUUAGGUUUUCACGAUGUCUUUUGUGUAAUAAAGCUCGUUAACUGCAUUGUGCAAAACAAAUGGGCAGAAUAAUCAGUAUACUUAUUGACAUUGUGUCAUUUCUAGUUAGAGCAGGAAGAGGACUCUCACUAUGGCUCCAGGCUUCGCCUUCUAUCUCUCAAGAGGAAGAGCGCUAAUGGUUUCUGAAAGCAGGGAUCGAAGGAACUCAUAAAGCUCUGCAGGACGACAUGAGAGGAGGAAGAACAUUAUUAAUCCUUUUUCAUCGGAAUACAUGACGUUCUGUGCAAUACAGCACGCAGGCUUGAGACCACUAUUACACGGCAUCACAAUAAAUGAUUGCACAGGGCAACCUGCAUGAUGCAAUUCAGAAAUUAAAGGAAGUGGACUUUUUACUUUUCAUUUCUCUGCAUUUCAAAAGUCAAAUAACUGGGUGUCAGCCAGGAAAACUGGUUCCAUCGGCACCAAAACUUUGUUUGUCUAGAACCAAAAACAGCCAACAAACUAAAACUUCGUCAUGGCCAUUAAAAACCCACAACAAUAAAAAAAAACUGAGCCACGAUAUAGAUGACUAUUUGUCUUAUUAUGUCUGGUGUUUACGAAGAGUGGCACAAUGGCGUGCAAAAAAAACCAAGGGCGUUUCUAAAUGACAUUUGAUUUGUUAAUAUCAGCUGGCUUUUAACUGCUGAAGUUAAACAAUGGCAGGUCAAUGACACAAAUGUUGAUUUUUUCGGCUUUCCAGGAGUGGUCUAUGGGAGAGGCAAAGCAUCACUUUGCACUGUGAUCCUUGACAGAAGUUCAGGAUGAACUGUAGGGAGUUUCAGUAGCAAAAUGUUUGAACCGACAUUUUCAUUGAUGUAAUGACAUAUUUGAUAUAGUGUAGGACAUAGAAAAGCAUCCUAGUUCAGGUUUUAAACUCUGCACCAGCCAGGCCCAGGGUGGAGGACCAGGACAAUUCCCGGUGGGCCGGUCUGAUGUUUGGGCCGUGAGGGCCGGUGUUCACUUUUUUUGGGCCGGUGUUCAGUCAUGGCACUGGGUUGAUCAUUAUUGCUUCUACCGCUGUUCCUGGGCCGCCUCCACUUGGAGCUCUUUUUUUUUUUUUUUUUUUGCAGACGCACCGUGACGUAACACGUCUGUGUAGACGGUCAGAGGUGUUUGAGAGAUGGAAACAGGAAGAGCAAGGGUGGUGCGGAGAAGGUAAGAAUUAAAACAGGACAGCUCUGGAAACAGACGCAGCCGAAUGUGCAGAAAUUAGAAACUUUUUCACUAAAGCUCACGGUUUGAAACGACAAAUGAGGCAGGAGAAACGAAUACGGACUUUGUCAAACUUUGCAAACCACCAUUCAAGUUAAUUAUCAAAUCAAUUAAUUGUGUGUCAUUGUGGUGUAAAACAUAAUGUUAUAUAAUUUAAAUAAUAGUAUGAUGCGACCACAUAUCUGAAACGUUGUCCUGCAGCCCCUCAGGGUCAGAAGAAAGAUCCAGCAGCAAGCAGCAGCCAAGAGCCACAAGUCCAGAGUGGGAGAUGUUCAGAGGGAGCUGAUGUCACAUCUGGUCCAGCCAAUGGAAGGUCUUGAAGUUCUCUGACUGAAGGUGGUCCUCUCACUGGAUUUAAGGUUCAGAUGCUCAGGAACCAACUCCACCAAUGAGCCAACAGGGAAGCUUUAGGUUUAUUAAAUGUUGCUAUGAAGCAUGAAAACUAGACUCUCCACAAGGAUCCAAAAUAAGUUGGACUUCUACAUGAGAGCUUUAGUUUUUCUUCAUCUACUUCCUGAAAAGUUUGGUCAAUAAAAAAGGCAAAAACAAAUAUUUUCAGCUGAACUAAAGACAGACUUUGCAAAUUUUUCGGCUCACAUUUUGUGUUGCUGUAAACUUACUCUUUCAAAUAAAUAGCCUCCUAAGCCCCUGGAAACUAGCCUAGCCGCGCUAGACCCAGGUCUGAAGACGCAAGGGUCUAGGAACUCUUGAAAGGGGGGGGGGGGCGGGCUAAAAGGUUGUCUUUCAAAUCACUCUGCAGCAGUUGGGUAGGUAUACAACCAAUCAGUGCAACGAAUAGGCUGACGUAGAGCCUAGAGCGCCGGAAAUCAGAGGAUGCGGGAGUUCGGUGAAGCCUUAUUUAUACAGUCAAUGGGUGAAGCUCAAGUAUAUUACAGACAUGUUAACAGAAAGAUUAUUCAGUCGGUGCUAAUGGAGCUCAAUGACUGUUGUUUAUUGUGCACAGCCAUCUUCUUGUCUAUCCUUUUUUCUAUGGUUGUUUCCGGUUGUUUCUGUCAGAAUCGUCGCGCCUCUGUCGUCACUUAGUUACGCCUGCCUUCUGACUCUACACUUCAUGGUGAUUUGUCUGCCAGUUUUAGGAGAAUCCAACCUCGAGGCAUACCGAGGGUAACUAGACCGACCCUGGCAGAGAAUUAAAUUCGUUGCCGUGGGUUGUCCAGAGCGACAAGGCUACCUGGAAAACAGUGUUUGUCUUGUUUAUGUUUUGCUCCUCGGCGACCUUAGACAGCCGGGUCGUAAUGUUUUUUGAGCAACACACCAUACUGUGAUGUUUUUACAGUGAAGGUUCUACUAUGGAACCAGUUUGACAUGUUUGGGCAUUCUAUGUGUGAAAACUCAGAGAUUUCAGGUAUCAGAAGGUGGUUUUCAACUUUCUUUGUUAACUUUCUGUUUCAACUUUAAACUAAAUUUACUUCACUAAGCCAGUCCUCUGGACUUCCAGUAAGCUAUUUGUAGCGCUUGUAUCACUGAUAUAACCCUUUAAACUACUGGACCAAUUCUAGGUUCUGAAGGAGUGGGGAAACAACACUAAAAUUAGACCAGAGACCAUGUACUUUAAAUACAAAAGCCGGCACUUUAGUGAAUUUUUGACACAGAUUUAAGACAAACAAUAUUCAAUAUUAGCAACUGUUCAACGAUCCCUGCAGGUAAAAUAAAAAUAGGAAAAAUAAAGGUGCUUCACUCUUUUCCCUUUUUUAGGCUCUUCCUUUUAGUAUUAGAGACAGUUUAGUUCACUGAACCACUUUGUUGAGCAGUUUGUUAGGUUAAACUCUUUAUCUUAGAUUCAACCACACUCUUUUCAUUAAUUUAGACCGGUCUGUUAAUGUUUAUCUUAUUUAGGUUACUAAUUUGUACCUAAUUUGAGUUUAGUUAUACUCUUGAGUUAACUCUUCCUUCUAUUUCACAGGUAAGAAAGUAAAACCACAAUUCCCAAAUGAAAAUGAAUUGCAACACAAUCACAUCUCACUCAUAACUGAUGAUUAUGAACAACCAUGAACAUGUAACAUUUCAGUUUCACUUCAAGUUCAGUUCCAAUUAUGUUCUCAGUUCCAGUUCAGUUGUUUUCUCCAACUCAGUUUAGUUCAAAUAGAGGAAAAAGAAAGAAUCCAAUACUCCUACCACUCAGGCAGCGAGUUUACCAACAGCUCCAAAGCGACAGCAGUGUCCUCACUGGCACGAUGAAGAUGAGUUCUUGUCACUGAAAACAGAGUUCACGGGUCUGGCUCGCCAUCUAAAAUCCCACGUCGUGUGAGCGUCGUCUCCUCGCACGCCACGGAACAGAAAGUCUCUGACCAAUUCAGCAGGACCAAAAAACCUGACCUGCACAACAGGUCAUAAAUAAAAUGAAUUAUCCUGGCUACAUGAACUAAAACUGCAACUCUGCAUGCUCGUACAAUCUUAACAUUACUGCUAAGUCGCUCAUCAAAGAAGACAUGGUUGCAGAGCAGCAUUUUUGAGUCUAAAAGCAUUGUCCUUUAAACAAAAUGAAAUGUUUUAAAUGCAGUGAAACUCUUCCACUAACAUGACAUGUAAUGAUACACAUUUGGUCUCCUCAAUAAACAAAACAUUCACCGCUAAACAGAAUUAACGAUUUCCUCCACGUUUCAACAUUAGCCCUUUUGCUAGCAUCCACGUGCGUACACGUUGCAGAAAAAGUUUACCAUAAAACAAAUCAAAACUCACCAAAAACCGUCGCGGUUAACUUCAACACAAUCCUCGCGCAUCAGCAACCGGGCUGGUUUUCUUUUCCCAAUCUCCAAUAAACUCGUUUUAAAGAAGUUUUGUUCGUUAUUUUUCUCUGCUUUUCUCCUCUCCGUCUCUCGUCUGCUCUCUGCUGCGCUGUGCAGCACGUUUUGGUUAAAGGCACAAGGCAGCAAAACGCUUAAAGGGGAAGGAGCAUUGUAAUUUUUAACAGCCAUACUUUUAAUCAUUUUAAUUAAAGGAGCUUUCUGACUGUUUUUAACUGACUUUCAAUUAAUUAAAUGAACAUAUUUCAAGCAAAUGAACUUAUUU